UUAUAAUCAAUGUAUGAUUGAGUCUUUGAUUUUUUUUCUUUUUCCAGAACAGUUGUUGUGGUAUUGACGAGCCAGAAGACGUAGCUAAAUACAAUUUCAGGUGUGACAAUAUGGAUUGGCCAGGCUGUUAUACAAAAGUUAAAGAAACUAUCGAAAAAAAUCUCCCUGCAGCCAUUGGCAUUGCCAUCGCUAUUAUUCUGGUGCAGUUGUUUCUCAUCGUCUUCGCCUGCUGCCUUUGUAAUUCCAAAAGAGGGGAAACGCCUUCAUAGAUAGCUUCUCAAAAUGACUGAACACUUGAAAGUUAAUUAUUUUUCUUUCAUAUAAACACUUGUAUUCUAAUUACUCACAUUUUUUGUUUCAUCAUAUUUGAUGCAUAUUUUUGUCGAACCUAUAAAUUUCUUAAUAUCUGUCUCUGUACUUCAAAAAGACUAAUUUCACUUGAUUAAAAAAAAAAAUAUAUAUAUAUAUAUAUAUAUAUAAACAUAAUUAGGACCAUGUGCAGUUUGAGUUUAAUUAACGUCAUCAGUCUUUCAAUGUUACACAUUAUUCUUUUCACUCUUGAUACUUUAAUAAACUUGCUCAAGCUAUCGUUGCUAUAUUUAUCUCUCUUUCAUUGCUUACCUAAGCACAGUUUGUUGUAAACCCAAGGAUUUUGGUGUUUCGUCUUCAUCACAUUCCUGCUUUGGGUCUUUUGCUAAAAUUCAUUUUAAAGGCUGCUGGGAAUACAACUUAUCGUAAAAGGCCCAUUUGACCCACAAAAAAAAAAGAGAGCUUAAGAAUCUGGUUUACAUUAAUAUUUUACUUUUUACUCUUGCUAUUAAAA